rnacentral:lncRNA from 1 species
GUGCUGUUUUAGGACAUGAGAGUACACCCAAAACAAAAAUGGACAGAAAUUCCAGUCUCAUAGACGUGAGAGAUCCAGAAGAUAUUUCUACAAUUUCCCUUCCGUUACAUAUAGAGAGUUUAAUAAAAGAAUAUUAC